rnacentral:misc_RNA from 1 species
GGAAGGAUCAUUAUCAAUGUAUUAUCUUUUUUACACCUUUUCUUUUGAUGGGAUACUUUACUUUCGAGUGAAGCCCCUUCAAAGAGAGGCACACUUUGUGAAUAACUAUGAAGUCCAUUUAUAACCUAUUUUUUUUACUCCGUAGUCUAAUAUUUCUUUUUUUUUAUAUAUCUUUGCCCUUCUUCUAUAUUCUCUUUUUUGAGUCUUGAAAAAGGUAACAAGAAUAAUAAUAAAAAAAAAAAAAAACCACAUUACAAUCUUUAACGAUGGAUAUCUCGGCUCGUGUAACGAUGAAGAGCGCAGCAAAAUGCGAUAACCAGUGUGAAUUGCAGAAUUCUGUGAAUCAUCGAACUCUUGAACGCAUACUGCGCCUUGAGGCUAUCCUCGAGGCACACCUGUUUGAGUGUCGACAAAUUCUCUAUCCAAAAAAACUAAUAUAAGUUUUUAAAUACUACUACUUACAUUAGGAGAUUUGGGAUUAUGACAGUGUAGAGGAACUGGUUUCGACCUUUUAGACUCAACUCUGUUUAAAUGUAUUGGUUGAAUUUACUUUUACAAAAGUAAAGUGAAAACUUACCACCUUUGGUUUGAGGAAUCUAAUUCCAACUCUCCUUAGGUGUUUUCUUCUUUUGUAUUUUAAGUUCUUUCAAAUCACUAAGGAACAAAAAAAAAAAUGUGUUUGUUUAUUAUUUGGAGUCCUUCUUCAAAGAACCAAACAAAACACAUUCAAUUACCAUUCGACCUCAAAUCAGGUGGGAUUACCCCCUGAAUUUAAGCAUAUAAAUAAGGGGAGGAAAAGAAAGUAACCACGAUUCCCUUAGUAAAGGCGAUUGAACAGGGAAAAGCUCAAUCCGAAUCUAGCAGGUUUCCUGCUCGAAUUGUAGUUUUCGAAGUGUUUAUAUGAGAUGAACUCAGUAUAAGUUACCUGGAACGGUACGCCAUAGAGGGUGACAGCCCCGUAUAUGAUUGAGGUUUUUCCAUUUCUAUCCGUAAACAACUUCUAGAGUCGGGCUGUUUGAUAGUAUAGCCCAAAGUGCGAGGUAAGUUCCUCGUAAAGCUAAAUACAGACGCGAGACCGAUAGCGAACAAGUACCGUGAGGGAAAGAUGCAAAGAACUUUGAAAAGAGAGUUAAAAGUACUUGAAAUCGUUGGAGAGGAAGCGAUUGGCAACUAGUGAUUGAAUAGGGUCGAUUCGUGGUAGAAAGGGUGGAAAAGGGAUGAAAUGAGUUGCAUUUUUGUAACCAUGUAAUUUCUUUCAAUUCAUUCUUGAUAUCAUUACUUCGAUCUUAUCGGAUCAGUAUCUAUGGACUUUCGAUUAGAAUGGGAAGGGGGAGGUAGCCUGGGGUUUACUCUCUGGGUGUUUAACUCUUUUCAGAUAAUCUUAAGAUUCUAUAGAGGGUACAAAUUGGUGCUUGGCGGGGUAUGUAGGGUCCUAAGGGGGAUUUAUUUUGAGGACUGCUUGCAGUGUUUGAGAUACUUUCUCUUUACCGAUUUUACACCACCUACCAAUUCGUGAUGCUGAUGAAAUGGUUCCAACCGACCCGUCUUGAAACACGGACCAAGGAGUCUAACAUAUGUGCAAGUCACUGGGUAAUAAACCUUGGGGCGUAAUGAAAGUGAAACAUGGUGUGAUAGGUGUUAAAUCCUUGCAACAUCGACCGAUCCAUUCUCCUUUUUAUAGGUGAUAGAUUUGAGUAAGAGCAUAUCUGUUGGGACCCGAAAGAUGGUGAACUAUGCCCGCAUAGGGUGAGGCCAGAAGAAAUUCUGGUGGAGGCUCGUAGCGAUACUGACGUGCAAAUCGUUCGUCAAAUGUGGGUAUAGCGGCGAAAGACUAAUCGAACCGUCUAGUAGCUGGUUUCCUC